AGAGUUUGAUCCUGGCUCAGGACGAACGCUGGCGGCGCGCCUAACACAUGCAAGUCGAACGAGAGAUGAGGAGCUUGCUCUUCAAAUCGAGUGGCGAACGGGUGAGUAACGCGUGAGGAACCUGCCUCAAAGAGGGGGACAACAGUUGGAAACGACUGCUAAUACCGCAUAAGCCCACGGCUCGGCAUCGAGCAGAGGGAAAAGGAGCAAUCCGCUUUGAGAUGGCCUCGCGUCCGAUUAGCUAGUUGGUGAGGUAACGGCCCACCAAGGCGACGAUCGGUAGCCGGACUGAGAGGUUGAACGGCCACAUUGGGACUGAGACACGGCCCAGACUCCUACGGGAGGCAGCAGUGGGGAAUAUUGCACAAUGGGGGAAACCCUGAUGCAGCGACGCCGCGUGGAGGAAGAAGGUCUUCGGAUUGUAAACUCCUGUUGUUGAGGAAGAUAAUGACGGUACUCAACAAGGAAGUGACGGCUAACUACGUGCCAGCAGCCGCGGUAAAACGUAGGGUGCAAGCGUUGUCCGGAAUUACUGGGUGUAAAGGGAGCGCAGGCGGACCGGCAAGUUGGAAGUGAAAACUAUGGGCUCAACCCAUAAAUUGCUUUCAAAACUGCUGGCCUUGGAUAGUGCAGAAGGUAGGUGGAAUUCCCGGUGUAGCGGGGGAAUGCGUAGAUAUCGGGAGGAACACCAGUGGGCGAAGGCGACCUACUGGGCACCCAACUGACGCUGAGGCUCGAAAGCAUGGGUAGCAAACAGGAUUAGAUACCCUGGUAGUCCAUGCCGUAAACGAUGAUUACUAGGUGUUGGAGGAUUGACCCCUUCAGUGCCGCAGUUAACACAAUAAGUAAUCCACCUGGGGAGUACGACCGCAAGGUUGAAACUCAAAGGAAUUGACGGGGGCCCGCACAAGCAGUGGAGUAUGUGGUUUAAUUCGAAGCAACGCGAAGAACCUUACCAGGUCUUGACAUCCUUCUGACCACUCCGUAAUGGGAGUCUUCCUUCGGGACAGAAGAGACAGGUGGUGCAUGGUUGUCGUCAACUCGUGUCGUGAGAUGUUGGGUUAAGUCCCGCAACGAGCGCAACCCCUAUCUUCAGUAGCCAGCAGGUAAGGCUGGGCACUCUGGAGAGACUGCCAGGGAUAACCUGGAGGAAGGUGGGGACGACGUCAAAUCAUCAUGCCCCUUAUGAUCUGGGCGACACACGUGCUACAAUGGCGGUCACAAAGUGAGGCGAACCUGCGAGGGGGAGCAAACCACAAAAAGGCCGUCCCAGUUCGGACUGUAGUCUGCAACCCGACUACACGAAGCUGGAAUCGCUAGUAAUCGCGAAUCAGAAUGUCGCGGUGAAUACGUUCCCGGGUCUUGCACUCACCGCCCGUCA
rnacentral:rRNA from 1 species